rnacentral:rRNA from 1 species
AUUGAACGCUGGCGGCAUGCCUUACACAUGCAAGUCGAACGGUAACAGGUCUUCGGAUGCUGACGAGUGGCGUACGGGUGAGUAAUACAUCGGAACGUGCCUAGUAGUGGGGGAUAACUACUCGAAAGAGUGGCUAAUACCGCAUGAGAUCUACUGAUGAAAGCAGGGGAUCGCAAGACCUUGUGCUACUAGAGCGGCCGAUGGCGGAUUAGGUAGUUGGUGGGAUAAAAGCUUACCAAGCCGACGAUCUGUAGCUGGUCUGAGAGGACGAUCAUCCAGACUGGGACUGAGACAAGGCCCAGACUCCUACGGGAGGCAGCAGUGGGGAAUUUUGGAGAAUGGGCGCAAGCCUGAUACAGCAAUGCCGCGUGCAGGAUGAAGGCCUUCGGGUUGUAAACUGCUUUUGUACGGAACGAAAAGCCCUGGGUUAAUACCCUGGGGUCAUGACGGUACCGUAAGAAUAAGCACCGGCUAACUACGUGCCAGCCGCCGCAGUAAAAC